UACGAAGGGGACUAGCGUUGUUCGGAAUCACUGGGCGUAAAGCGCACGUAGGCGGAUAUGUCAGUCAGGGGUGAAAUCCCGGGGCUCAACCUCGGAACUGCCCUUGAUACAGCAUGUCUUGAGUCCGAUAGAGGUGGGUGGAACUCCUAGUGUAGAGGUGAAAUUCGUAGAUAUUAGGAAGAACACCGGUGGCGAAGGCGGCCCACUGGAUCGGUACUGACGCUGAGGUGCGAAAGCGUGGGGAGCAAACAGG
rnacentral:rRNA from 1 species